rnacentral:lncRNA from 1 species
UUAAUGUUCCAAUCCAUGCAAAUGCUCAGUGCUCUGCAAUGUUAAGAUCUAGAAUAAAGAAUCACUGAUACUGCAAGUUAGCAUCAUUCAGAAUGGAUGCUACUUAUCCUUGCUACCAUAUGAUGCAUUUCUUUGAUGUGUUAUGAUUAUGAUAGGCAGAAUUCUAAAUGCUGAUGCAUAGCUCCUCUCUUCAAACAGCUACCAUU